GACAGAGGUGCCGAGCGUUAGGCGGAAUCACUGGGCUUAAAGCGUGUGUAGGCGGACUUCUAAGUCCCUUGUGAAAUCCCACGGCUUAACCGUGGAACUGCUGGGUAUACUGGUUGUCUUGAGCCACUUAGGGGCGAGCGGAACAAAUGGUGGAGCGGUGAAAUGCGUAGAUAUCAUUUGGAACGCCAAUGGUGAAAACAGCUCGCUGGGAGUGUGCUGACGCUGAGACACGAAAGCCAGGGUAGCGAACGGG
rnacentral:rRNA from 1 species